rnacentral:rRNA from 1 species
AUUGAACGCUGGCGGCAGGCCUAACACAUGCAAGUCGAACGAGUGGCGGACGGGUGAGUAAUGUCUGGGAAACUGCCCGAUGGAGGGGGAUAACUACUGGAAACGGUAGCUAAUACCGCAUACCAUCGGAUGUGCCCAGAUGGGAUUAGCUAGUAGGUGGGGUAACGGCUCACCUAGGAGACGAUCCCUAGCUGGUCUGAGAGGAUGACCACCCACACUGGAACUGGAACAGGGUCCAGACUCCUACGGAAGGCAGCGGUGGGAAAUAUUGGAACAUGGGCGCAAGCCUGAUGCAGCAAUGCCGCGUGUAUGAAGAAGGCCUUCGGGUUGUAAGGUACUUUCAGCGAGGAGGCGUUACUCGCAGAAGAAGCACCGGCUAACUCCGUGCCAGCAGCCGCGGUAAUAC